rnacentral:rRNA from 1 species
GACGAACGCUGGCGGCGUGCUUAACACAUGCAAGUCGAACGGAAAGGCCCUGCUUGCAGGGUACUCGAGUGGCGAACGGGUGAGUAACGCGUGGGUGAUCUGCCCUUCACUUCGGGAUAAGCCUGGGAAACUGGGUCUAAUACCGGAUAGGAGCCAUUUUUAGUGUGAUGGUUGGAAAGUUUUUUCGGUGUAGGAUGAGCUCGCGGCCUAUCAGCUUGUUGGUGGGGUAAUGGCCUACCAAGGCGGCGACGGGUAGCCGGCCUGAGAGGGUGGACGGCCACAUUGGGACUGAGAUACGGCCCAGACUCCUACGGGAGGCAGCAGUGGGGAAUAUUGCACAAUGGGCGCAAGCCUGAUGCAGCGACGCCGCGUGGGGGAUGACGGCCUUCGGGUUGUAAACUCCUUUCGCUAGGGACGAAGCUUUUUGUGACGGUACCUAGAUAAGAAGCACCGGCUAACUACGUG